CUCUUAAUGUAAAAACAAAUAAAACUUACCUAAAUUAUGGACUAUUUUAAAUCUGCUAGCCGAUCUUUUAAAAAAUUGAUUUUACUAUUCAACUACGGUCAACGACACUGUGACUUCAAACUUUAAGCUAAUUUCUUAUUUUAAUAAAUUCAUAGUUGCAAAAAUUGAAUGAAAUAUAUUAAUUUAAAUUUGUAAAGAUGAACGGCGCAUUCAAUGUUUAAAAUUAAAAUGUCGUUUAUUGACUCACAGUAAACAAGUUGAAAUGUUAGAUAGUAAAAUCAAAAUUUUGAAAAGUUAAAUAGUCAAUUCAAAAUGAUUUAAAGUUCAGAUAAGUUUCGUAUAUUUUUAUCUAGAUUUAAUUAUAAAAAUUGCUUUAUAUUUUAAGCCAUGUCUUUCUGUAUUAAGGGACCGUUUGGUUGGAUGUAAUUAGAAAUACAAUAUAAUUGGAUAUGUAUGCAGUUACAACUAUAUAUAUAUAUAUAUAUCAUUUGGUUAGAUGCAAUAGAAAGCAUUGUAACU
rnacentral:lncRNA from 1 species